CUCUGUUUCUGACCAGCUCCUGGGAGAUGUCGAUGCUGCCUGUCUUCAGACCACAUCAUGUAGCAGUACUUUGUGAUGUGUGCCUGUAUUACUCCGUUUUCACGCUGCUAAAAAGAUAUUACCUGAGACCAGGUUAUUGAAGCAAACCUAGAUGGAGAAUUGAAUUUGAAAAUAGAAACUGAAUUAGUAUGUGUUACAACUCAUUUUAAAGAUCUUGGAAAUCCUCCAUUAGCCUCUGAAAGCACCCAUGAGGACAGAAACGUGGAACACAUGGCUGAAGUGCACAUAGAUAUUAGGAAGCUCCUACAGUUUCUUGCUGGACAACAAGUAAAUCCCACAAAGGCCUUAUGCAAUAUUGUGAAUAACAAGAUGGUGCAUUUUGAUCUGCUUCAUGAAGACGUGUCCCUUCAGUAUUUCAUCCCUGCGCUGUCCUAGCACCCUGUCGCUGGAGUUGGCAUGCAGAGACUUUGUCAGGAUGGGAGAGGCCGCAGUGUAUCGGAUCUGUCGUUCUGGAAAGAAGACCCUUCUAUUUAGAGUAGAAACAAACGAAACUUCUAAGGUAUCAUCUGUGUUAAGUGAUGAGACCAUAUUUCUUUGAUGUUUCUGAACAUCAAAGCUGAUUCAGUACUGGUAGAUGUGCUCAUUCUCCCUGAAACAUACCCAUCAUAUUUCCUAUUAUAAUUACAUCUCAUUGUCCUGUGGAGGUGGACAUGAUAAACAUUAUCUUUUGUUUUCUUGUUUUGUUUUGUUUGAGACGGUCUCAUUCUGUCACCCAGACUGGAGUGCAGUGCCACAAUCAUGGCUCACCGCAUUGACCUCCUUGGCUCAAGGCAUCCUCCCACCUCAGCUUCCUGACUAGCUGGGACUACUGGUGUGCACCACCACACCCAGCUAAUUUUCAAUUUUUCAUAGAGACAGGGUCUCACUGUGUUGUCCAGGCUGGUCUUGAACUCCUGGGCUCAAGCCACCCGCCCACCUGGGCCUCCCAAAGUGCUGGGAUUACAGGCAUCAGCCAUCACACCCAUCCAUAAACAUUAUAUUAAUGUCACAUUACAAAACUGAGACCUAAGUUGCUUAGGAUAAAAUGAAAUUGGAAGACUAGCUAACAUGAAAAUUUAUAUUUUGGCUUUUUCAUGUUUUUUGAUAAAACCAGUGUAUUUGAAUGAUUCUUUUGAUGUUUAGUAAUGGUUUUUUGUUUGUUUUUUGGUUUUUUUUUUUGAGACGGAGUCUCACUCUGUCGCCAGUCUGGAGUGCUAGUGGCGCGAUCUUGGCUUACUGCAGCCUCCACUUCCCAAGUUCAAGCGAUUCUCCUGCCUCAGCCUCCCGAGUAGCUGGGACUACAGGCGCAUGCCACCACGCCCGGCUAAUUUUUGUAUUUUUAGUAGAGACGGAGUUUCACUGUGUUGGCCAGGAUGGUCUCGAUCUCGACCUCGUGAUCACCCACCUUGGCCUCUCAAAGUGCUGGGAUUACAGGCGUGAGCCACCACGCCUGGCCUAUGUUUAAUAAUGUUGAAAUAGGAUGGAAUAUUUUGUUAAAUUAACAUUUUAAAAUUAGAAGACACCGUUUUAAUUUUUAAACCCUUCCUCCUCUCAUUGUAACGAAAUUAAUUCCAGCUGCAGUGAGAAAACUUAAAAAUCAUGAUACAAAAUGAAACAAUAUCUGAAAGUAGUUUUAUAAAACUGAAAUUGCUGUUAAAGAGAAUGUGUUAGUGACUUAACCAUUUGCUCUAUGUGAUGUUUAUUAUCAAAUACAUAUAAUUUUGAAGAUUUUAAUGAAUGGCUUAAGAUUUUAUCUUUGUGUAGAAUGUGGCUAAAGAAACCUUAGUUGAGAUUCAA
rnacentral:lncRNA from 10 species